GCCACUCUGGAAGGUUCUCUGGUUGGAGAUUCCUCCUUUGUGAAGUCAUUCCUGUGAGCCUAGAUCUUCAGACACAGAAUGUGGUGGAGAUUUGCCGAAGAAAACAGGAUGCUGUGUUUUGCUGUAAAUAAGAAUGCCAGAGUAGAGUUACGUCAUGGAGUUAUUUCUAGAUCUGUCUGUGACGGGGCACAGACCCGAAGAGAAGGGGGGAAAAAAACAAAGGAAACAAAGGAGAGGAAAAAAGUGUUAACCGUUUAUGCCCAUCCGGCCUGGCCCCUUGACUAAUGGGUAACUUGCGGGCCGGCGCCUCGGGAGAGCCGGGAAGUGGGAGGGGAAAGGUAGGGAGACAGUAGAUGGGUCUUUAAAAAAAAAAAAGCAACGAUCUGAGGAGGAACGGUAACUUACUAAAUCCAACAAAAUCAAACAAAAUGAGAGAAACAGAGUGUCCCGGCCUUACUCUAGUAGCCUGCAGGAGAACCACAUGCUUUUCUCCUCAGCGAACCGAGCGAGAGGGAGAUGGACUGGAGUCCUACCAAGAGCUCCACCGUUCUUCUGGGCUCGAAGUCCUCUGGGGAAUGCCACUCCUCCCCUCUCCCCUCCUUUGAGAACCGAAAUGCCAAAAAAAUGCAGUCCGCAGAACCAGAACAUUAACUCCCACUGUUUUAAACGAUGUUAUCAUGCGGAAUAUCGACAACAAAAAUAACAAAACCAAAACAAGUUAUAAGGAAGUGAGGCUCUGAAUUUGUCUUAGACUUGAAGAUAACAUUGAAGAUAAUGUUGAAGACCUGUGAAUAAACCUAAUUCCCAUUGCAUAUCAGCUGAGCAGGCAAGCAAGAGCUACAAAAUGCCUUUGUGCUAAAAUUGAGUUAUGUGGCACCUCUUAUAUUUGUAGAGGGCAACGGGCAUGUCUCUGCAACAUGGGAUAAGGGAUAAAUAGCAUCAUAAGAGUCUGUUCAUCUGUUCCUCCUGAAUGUUGCACUGCUUUCUUCCCAGUUUUUUUUUUAUCUCUGGUGUAUGGUGAAACCAUGCCAGUUAACAAUUUUUUUUGAAGAGCAAGUGGGUACUCCUUCUAAGGAUCUCUUAUGGUACUGGGGCAUUAUGCCAUCAUAGGCAGGCAGUGGCAAGCUCAGGUAAUAGGCAUUUGAAGUCGGUACAAAAAUACAGGCAGACAGCAAGCAAUUCUGGGAAGAAACUGUGAUCUAUAUGUAGUUAGGCAACAGUUACUAGAGGUAACACUGAUCCCAAAUUCAUGUUUAUAAGCAUCCUUGUCAGUUUACUAAUUACAUAGGCUUUUCUGCUGCUUCCUUUUAAUAGAAGAUGGUUCAGACUAAUAGGGCACUUCUCUCAAGGGAACAGUGGUCACUGGGAAGGUUAACAUCAUUAUGAAGCAAGAGAUAAGCCCACUGGGAUACUGGCAGCUCAGAGGUUUUACACCAAGAUGGUUUUUGAGGAUGCCAGUGGCAAGAUACUGGAAAGUAGAAGAGGCACAUUCAGACAACUGAAAGUAAUCCUGCAGAGGUGACACUGGCUGUUCACAGUGUGCAGCAAAAACUUAGCUUCACUACAUCUCUGGGAGGUAGGUAAACACAUUACACAAAGGUAGGAAACUGAAAUGAAGAAACUGGGCUGGUGUGGGAUGCUGAAAAGAGGGAGCAGAUAGGUUUUGAUUUGGCUGUACAAGUGUUGACAGGAUGGAAGAAGAGCAUCCUUAUAGGAGGAGGAGGGGUAAGGUGAGAAAGCGUAUGUCAGAGGCUCUUUGUCUUCCUCAGCAAUGAGGGAGAAGGAAUUGUUGUUUU
ensembl:lncRNA